rnacentral:rRNA from 1 species
CACGUAGGGACCAAGCGUUGUCCGGAUUCAUUGGGCGUAAAGAGCUCGUAGGCGGUUCGGUAAGUCGGGUGUGAAACCUCCAGGCUCAACCUGGAGACGCCACCCGAUACUGCCGUGACUAGAGUCCAGUAGGGGAGCGUGGAAUUCCUGGUGUAGCGGUGAAAUGCGCAGAUAUCAGGAGGACACCAGCGGCGAAGGCGGCGCUCUGGGCUGGAACUGACGCUGAGGAGCGAAAGCGUGGGGAGCGAACGGG